rnacentral:rRNA from 1 species
UACGAAGGGUGCAAGCGUUAAUCGGAAUUACUGGGCGUAAAGCGUGCGUAGGUGGUUUGUUAAGUCUGCUGUGAAAGCCCUGGGCUCAACCUGGGAAUGGCGGUGGAUACUGACAAGCUAGAGUGCGGUAGAGGAGGGUGGAAUUCCCGGUGUAGCGGUGAAAUGCGUAGAGAUCGGGCGGAACACCAGCGGCGAAGGCGGCGACCUGGCCCUGACCUGACGCUGAGGCGCGAGAGCGUGGGGAGCGAACGGG